GUGUCAGCAGCCGCGGUAAUACAGAGGGUGCGAGCGUUAAUCGGAAUUACUGGGCGUAAAGCGCGCGUAGGCGGCUUUGUAAGUCGGUUGUGAAAUCCCCGGGCUUAACCUGGGAACUGCAUCCGAGACUGCAUGGCUAGAGUAUGGGAGAGGGAAGUGGAAUUUCAGGUGUAGCGGUGAAAUGCGUAGAUAUCUGAAGGAACAUCAGUGGCGAAAGCGACUUCCUGGACCAAUACUGACGCUCAUGUGCGAAAGCGUGGGGAGCAAACAGGAUUAGAUACCCUGGUAGUCC
rnacentral:rRNA from 1 species